UUAGUUUUUGAAGUAUGGCCUGCCCGCUGACUUUGAUGUUGAAGGGCCGCGGUAUUUUGACCGUGCAAAGGUAGCAUAGUCAUUAGUUCUUUAAUUGUGAUCUGGUAUGAAUGGCUUGACGAGGCAUGGGCUGUCUUAAUUUUGAAUUGUUUAUUGAAUUUGGUCUUUGAGUUAAAAUUCUUAGAUGUUUUUAUGGGACGAGAAGACCCUAUAGAGUUUAACAUUUAUUAUGGUUCUUUUCUGUUUGUGAGGGUUCACUGGGCCAUUUAGUAUGUUUUGUUGGGGUGAUGGGAGGAAUUUAUUUAACCCCUCCUUUAUGUUGUUAUAUUUAUUUAUAAUUAUUUGAUCCAUUUAUUUUGAUUGUAAGAUUAAAUUACCUUAGGGAUAACAGCGUUAUCCCCCUUGAGAGUUCUUAUCGGCAGGGGGGUUUGCGACCUCGAUGUUGGAUUAAGGUUUAUUUUCGGUGUAGGGGCUGGAAGUUAUUAGGUCUGUUCGACCUUUAAA
rnacentral:rRNA from 1 species